AUUGAACGCUGGCGGCAGGCCUAACACAUGCAAGUCGAGCGGAUGAAGGGAGCUUGCUCCUGGAUUCAGCGGCGGACGGGUGAGUAAUGCCUAGGAAUCUGCCUGGUAUUGGGGGAUAACGUCCGGAAACGGGCGCUAAUACCGCAUACGUCCUGAGGGAGAAAGUGGGGGAUCUUCGGACCUCACGCUAUCAGAUGAGCCUAGGUCGGAUUAGCUAGUUGGUGGGGUAAAGGCCUACCAAGGCGACGAUCCGUAACUGGUCUGAGAGGAUGAUCAGUCACACUGGAACUGAGACACGGUCCAGACUCCUACGGGAGGCAGCAGUGGGGAAUAUUGGACAAUGGGCGAAAGCCUGAUCCAGCCAUGCCGCGUGUGUGAAGAAGGUCUUCGGAUUGUAAAGAACUUUAAGUUGGGAGGAAGGGCAGUAAGUUAAUACCUUGCUGUUUUGACAUUACCAACAGAAUAAGCACCGGCUAACUUCGUG
rnacentral:rRNA from 1 species